UACGUAGGGGGCGAGCGUUGUCCGAAGUUACUGGGCGUAAAGCGCGCGUAGGCGGGCUAUUAAGUUGGAUGUGAAAUCUUCGGGCUCAACCCGGAAACCGCAUCCAAAACUGUUAGCCUUGAGGUAUGGAGAGGGAAGUGGAAUUCCUGGUGUAGCGGUGAAAUGCGUAGAUAUCAGGAGGAACACCCGUGGCGAAGGCGGCUUCCUGGUCAUAUCCUGACGCUGAGGCGCGAAAGCUAGGGGAGCGAACGGG
rnacentral:rRNA from 1 species